rnacentral:tRNA from 1 species
GGAGUCGUAUCGAAGUGGUCAUAACGGGGCGCACUCGAAAUGCGUUAGUCCUUCGGGGCUCGAGGGUUCGAAUCCCUCCGACUCCG